UCAUAAAUAGAGCUUUCAACCCCAUCUCCUCUUUUGCCUCGUCUUAUUCCUCUUUCCUAUGAGAGAAUGCUUGAGCCCACCGCAGGCCAAGUCGUAAGAAGAGAUUCAACCAUAUCGCCAUCGUCGCCAAAGCUCAUUUGCGUCGUCCACGGAUUUCUUCUGGAGCGCGACACACCGAAGCUUCCUCCUGCUUGAAUCUGGUCCAUUUCAGCUCUGAUAAUGACGACCUAGACAUCUGUAUCCAGCUUGUACUUCUACUGUGGCUUAUUAAUCUCAUGACGCGGAUGUUCCUUCAAGAAAAUGCAGCUCAUCUUGUAUAAACAUAGUUUAGCCGGCUCAUGUACUUUUACUUUCACCAUGCAAUUGUCUUGUAAGAACAUUGAUAUCCCCAAAGACCGACAAAGCUGUUGGCUGGGUUCCCACAUGCAGUGCUCACACUAGACGAUCUUGUGAGCCAGGGUCUUUUGUCGGCUUAGGCACAGAUCAGCUGGUGAGCUCCUCAGGAAGAAGCUUCCCACUGACCUCAACAGGGGGAAGUUGUUGUUUUUUCAGUUGCACACAGGCUUUUGACCACGUGGAUCAAAAAAAUCAGAGACAUGCUCAACAUUUUCAACCUUAGACGUCAAGAUAUCGACCCCAACACCAUCACAAACUUUGUGAGUUCCAAGUUCUUUGCGAGGUGUAUCUCCAGAUUGAGCCAACCGUUAAUCUUUUCCGAGAGUUUUUUAUAUCAACCAUCAGAAUGAGUAAAAGAUGGACCCAGCGUAGAGCUUGGUGGAAUUUCAAUUCAGAAAUGGUAAAAUAGUGUUUUCCCUGAAGCCAAACCGGCAAGUCAUCCCAAGGGUUGGGUCAAGACUUCGUCUUGCUGUAAAAAGACUACCCCUCAAGGUGAAAACACCCUAUCGGGUUACAGUCCGGAAUGACUCAAUACUACUGUCGCUUUUCUGGGUUGGACAUCCAAUGAAGAAAAGAAUUAGAUGGCGCCUUAUUGCCUAAGGUUAGGAGCAUUGACGGCUCAUGGUCUCACCAGGUUUGAUCUAACAUGGUGUUGGAUAAGCGGGCGGAUUCAGCCCCUUAGCUUGAGGGGCGAUUUAAUGUGCAAUUAUACUGGUGACCCGGAAGAUGUGCAUCGCUUCAACCCGAUCAAUUUAUCUGAAGAUGAAGUCACUAAGAACAUGAAGAAAUUUCUGAGUGACUUCAAGGACAAGUGCAACUUGACUGGGCUCGCUCCCUUUUGCCCGACUAAUCAUGUCCCUCCAGCAGAUUUUGACUUGUGGAAAGUUUGGGCCCAAAAUCCUGCUCCUCCCCAAGCUGAGCAAGAGAAUGAGACGGUGGGUGAGGCGACUGCUGGAAGAGAGUCAGAGGUAGAUAUCGACUCACUUGGUCGUCUUUUUAUUGAACUUGCUGACCCUCUUGAUUUUGAGGAUAAAACCGAGACCAGCCAAGGCGACAAUGUGGACAUAAUUUGAAUCUCAUGCAACUCAUCAAAAACAUAUGUCCCGAAGAGAACGAGACUAGCCGUCUGAAAGGUUGUGUUUUCGCUUCCACACGCUCACUUAUAUCCAAAAUUUCUUUUGAAGAAAACUCAACAAACCGGCAUGUCAAAGCGCAAGACCCAGAGCAGUUCUCAGGAGUUAUCUGUAGGCUUAUCAUUAGAGACACCUUCCCCGCAAACAACGAGUCGAGGAAACAUUUCCUUCUUCUAGAGAAUCGACCGCAACUCAGCUCCCUGCUUUCACCAUUGUCGUGGGUAAGUAUCUUUGAGCCAUGCUUUUUUCAUUUUGUCAUCAUAGUUUCUUCUUCAACCUAAUGUUACUAUCAUGACUGUAGGGCCACUCGCAAAGAAGAAGAUCGGCGGGUCAUUUUCAGCUACUGUAGGCCCCAAUACUCAAGACCCUCAUGUGGUCGACCCACAGACCCAAGCUGAUCAUGUUAGCCAGGAUAACCCAGAUAUUGGGGUUGAGCCGGUGCAUGAAAAUGAGCCAGUUCAUGCUCAUGAACCAAUGGCAAUGGAAGAGCCAGCUCUAGGAGAAAAACAAGCAACUAGUGAUGACCCGACCCGCCACGUUUACCCGUCGAGUCCUGCUCGCACCUCCAUUCCUGUGCAGGAGGAAAAUAAUAUUGUCUCGUCUCACACGAUACAUGAUGCAGAAGUGACCAUUAUUGGAGAGGCUCAUAAAGCUCGAGAAACCUCAACUGCCCUAACUAAGGUUCUGGCCAAGGAUGAGCCGGUAAUGACAUCUAAGGGGAAAACCAAACUAUAGCUCCCAAGCUUGGACAAACUUGGUGUCAACGACCUGCAUCAGCAAUAGUUGACCCAGUUGUCUGAUAGCCAAGAUGCUGAAGUGAGCUUGAUAAGUAUGCUCAAGCGGAAAUAUGAGGUAUGAACUCCCCGUUCCCCGUCCUUUGUUAUGUAUACUCUUAUAGCCCCCAAGGGCUAGAUCAAUGCGAUAAGUAGUGAUCUGGGUCUUGUUCAGAAAUGUCUUUUAAUUUUUGAGAAGUGACAAUAGCCCCCAGGGAUUGGGUCGUUAUGAAAAUAACAAGCCAAUUCUUUAAUUCGUCUAGAUCAAUAGUGUAGAAAAUACCACCUGUAGCCCCAAGGGUCGGCUCAUCCCCUUGAGAUAACCAGGUCUUCUCAUAAGUGAAGAAAUGUCUUCCAUUAGGCCCCAAGUGCCAUGUAGAGUACUUGCAACUGUAUGGGACUUGAACAUAAAGCAAAUUUUAUGUGUUGUAUCCCCAAAGUGUCGGAUCAUCUGCUUGCGGAAUCUCGGGGCUUGUAAACAGCCUUUGAUAAUUUGUGAUGUGCAACAGAUGUUGGAUGAGGCCGAGUAGUUUGUGUCCAACUUGGAUAAGAAACUCAAGCAAGAAAGAGAGCUUAAGAAGAAAGCAAAAAUCUUGGUGGCUAAUAUGCAAGAAUCCUUACAACAGCCCGCUGGUAUCUUGCACGAGCCCAAGUCUACCUUCGAUGAAGAAUAGGCCGUCUUGCAGGAAGGUGCAUAUGUAGUAGAAAUCCAACUUGGCUCAGUAAAAGAGGAGUUGAAGACUCUCAAUAAACACAUCACCAAUAUGACUUUGGCUACAUUUGAAGAAGUGAUAAUGCUAUUCAACAUCCGAUGUUUAAAUUGAAGACCAUAUUCACAUACCUAGGGAAGAUGCUCACAUGAUGUGUCUAUGCAAUAAUAGCAGUGAAGAAUCUCACAAAGCCUCCUCUAUGGCAAAUGAUAUGCUCAACGAUUUAUCACAGUUCUUCAAUGGAUCCAGGAAAUGAAGAGGUCGAUGGCUUGUGAUGGGGCCAACAUGGCACAUGCUCGUGCAAAGGCUUAUUUUUCUGAGAUGGAGCCAGAGGCGAUGGAGGGCGAGUUUCCUGAAUUUAGCCUUGACGUCUCAGAAUUUUCCCACGAAGAUAAGCAUGGUGUCUCAAACAAACCCGAGUGUUGGCUACUCAACUUGUGAAGUACUGGACUUGUCAAAAUAUCAAGCCAGCUACUUCAAAGAAAAUAAGCGCAUGAACUCGCCCGGCGACAAGCCAUUCGAGCUUAUGCCUCCAUAUCAUAAGCAAUGCUUCGCCUCUAACGUUGAUCCAUCUAUUAUCAUCCAUGUGGACUCAAUCUUCCAGGAUUUGACAACCAUCUAAUGGUCACAAAAUGACCUCCAGACCGAACAGGACGAGCCGGCUCAAGUUGAUCCAGAAGCCUCUAGUGCAGAAGGCCAACAGAAGGACAUCAACCCGGAGGACUCAAGAGCCGGUGCGCAGGAUUACUACUCUAGCUUAAAAAACUUUGAUGAUUCUAGGGCCCAAAUUGGGUUCGUAAUAGUAGUAGCAAAAACACUUGGUCAUCUAUUGUGCCAUCAAGCACUUUGUACUUUGAAGUGUCAUCUUCUAAAGACUAUGAGCUGGUGCUUUUGAAUAGACAAACUUCUCUA